ACUUUCAACAACAGAUCUCUUGGUUCUGGCAUUGAUGAAGAACGCAGCGAAAUGCGAUAAGUAGUGUGGAUUGCAGAAUUCAGUGAAUCAUCGAAUUUUUGAACGCAUAUUGCGCCCCUUGGUAUUCCAUGGGGCAUGCCUGUUCGAGCGUCA
rnacentral:rRNA from 1 species